rnacentral:miRNA from 1 species
GCAGACACAUUCCAGCCAAUCAGCAGCAGACCCUCCCUCCCAGACCCUCCCACCUCCUGGACAGCAUCCAUUUUACAUUCAUUGUGAAGCUGCAUUCUUAGUGAGCUGUCCAGGAGGUGGGAGGGUCUGGGAGGGAGAGUCUGCUGCUGAUUGGCUGGAAUGUGUCUG